rnacentral:tRNA from 1 species
GUGGGCGUAGCGCAGUUGGUAGAGCACGCGAUUGUGACUCCCGUUGUCGUGGGUUCGAUCCCCAUCGUCCACCCCA